UAUUAUCUUCACAUUGCCAAUUUAGUUAAUUUGAGUCAAAUAUUUUGCAGGCAUUUGCUCACUUGCUACGAGCUCCUCAUGAUGAUUCAGAUUUAAUAAUGAAAGAGAGAUUUCCUGUGCCUCGCCUGGUUGUUUGUGAUCAGCACGGAUCCCAGGCUCGAUUUCUACUAGCAAAGUUAAAUCCUUCUGCAACAUAUAACACCGAAGCUUCCCUCCCCGGAGGGGAUAUUAUCUUUACGGAUGAUGUUAGCUUUGAGGUCUUCCUGGAUCAUUUACAGAGAUUAGUAGUUCAAUAGAAUUAUAGUCAGUGUGUCCUGUGACUUUUUAUGUAAAAUUUUCCUUGGAUUGCUAUUAUUAUUUCCAAUUUUGUGAAAAAUCUUGUAAUUAUUUGCUCAAUGACAGGGAAGAGUAGAUAUACUUUUUACUGUAGCUAAUUACUCAUAUUUUAAAAAAUUAUUUGGUGUCGAACCUAGUUGAUUGGCCUUGAGCAUAUGCUGUUUUGGCUUUUAUUCUUCAGAACAUUGUUAAUGGUACCCCUACAUUUAAGAUUGUAACCCUAAUAAAUUAGUUUUAUUUCAUAA